rnacentral:misc_RNA from 1 species
UCACGUCUUACGACGGCAGUUUCACUAGAGUUCCCAGCGUUACCUGAUGGCAACUAGUGAUGGGGGUUGCGCUCGUUGCGGGACUUAACCCAACACCUCACGGCACGAGCUGACGACAGCCAUGCAGCACCUGUGCUGGUACCCGACUCUACGGGUCGCCGACCCUUUCGGGUGACUACUGCCAACAUGUCAAACCCCGGUAAGGUUCUUCGCGUUGCGUCGAAUUGAACCACAUGCUCCGCUGCUUGUGCGGGUCCCCGUCAAUUCCUUUGAGUUUUAGCCUUGCGGCCGUACUCCCCAGGCGGGGAACUUAAUGCGUUAGCUCGUGCCGUGAGGUGUUGGGUUAAGUCC